rnacentral:rRNA from 1 species
GACGAACGCUGGCGGCGUGCUUAACACAUGCAAGUCGAACGGAAAGGCCUCUUUAGGGGGGUACUCGAGUGGCGAACGGGUGAGUAACACGUGAGUAACCUGCCCUUGACUUUGGGUUAACUUCAGGAAACUGGGGCUAUUACCGGAUAGGAGCUCCUGCUGCAGGGUGGGGGCUGGAAAGUUUCGGCGGUUGGGGAUGGACUCGCGGCUUAUCAGCUUGUUGGUGGGGUAGUGGCUUACCAAGGCUUUGACGGGUAGCCGGCCUGAGGGGGUGACCGGCCACACUGGGACUGAGAGACGGCCCAGACGCCGACGGGAGGCAGCAGUGGGGAAUAUUGCACAAUGGGUGGAAGCCGGAUGCAGCAACGCCGUGGGCGGGAUGACGGCCUUCGGGUUGUAAACCGCUUUCGCUCAUGACGAAGCUUUGUGUGACGGUAGUGGGUAAAGAAGCACCGGCUAACUACGUG